AAGUCGUAACAAGGUUUCCGUAGGUGAACCUGCGGAAGGAUCAUUAACACGUAUCCAAUCCCCCAUUCCGUUAGGACGCGGCAAUCCCUGGUAAAUCAUCGCCGAACAGUUUUGAUUCAGGGACCUCUGCAUGGAGUGGGCAGCAGCGCGAGGCAAGUGGCCUGGCAUUCGAAAGAAUGGCGCAGUAACGAUCGCUAGAGGCCGACACGGCCGGCGACCGGGUCACUGGGCUCACGCCCCCCUAUCACCUUUGCAUGAAAACGGGCCUGCGCUUAAUUGUGCGGCCACCAAACUCGAACAACUGUUAACAAUGGAUAUCUUGGUUCUC
rnacentral:misc_RNA from 1 species